rnacentral:sRNA from 1 species
UGCGGACGAACAUGGCGGUCACCUCCCAGUUCCGCCGCAACAGCUGUUCCCCUCUGGAGGUUCAAGAUCUCCACACUUUAUGGGCCGCGGUUUUCCGUCGGCCCUUUUUU